rnacentral:lncRNA from 1 species
CUGGAUUGGAGCCAAGGCUCCAAGGGUCUGGAACAAAUCCCGCGAGACUAAGGAGCGGCGGCGGCGCAAAGAAGACGAAGCCAUCCUCCUCGUCGCCGGUGACCUCUACCGCUGGCGAGCUUCUCUCCGGUAGGAUCCCUUCUCUUUCGUUAGAUCUGCUCUCUGCCUCUCUUUUGUUCAGCGUUGAUCUGCUCUCUGCUGGCACAAGGCCGAGGUCCAACCAGACCGUCCCAGGGCCAGCCGGGGGCGCGACCGCCGUCAGGCUGACGGUGGACAAGGCGGUCAGGAAGCAAGACGCCAUCGGCGAGUCCUCGAGCACCGCCCCUUGGACCUGGCACAAGAAACACGAUAUCCGCUGAAGCUUCCGUCCGCUGCUUGUACGCAAACGCCGGGAUCGCGGACAGGACAAGUGCAGCUGAAGCUUCCGUCCGCUGCCCACGGCUCCGUGCAGCAUGCAGCAGGGCCUCUCUACGGUGCAGGGCGACGCGCUGGCGAAUCUUUAGGUAGCAGCAGGAGAGCGCGACUGCGCAGGUAGAGUAGGGUGAAGGAGAAGAAGAUGCCUAAGGUGAGGAGCACCGUGAGGUUGUGGUUCCUGUCGUCGGAUGGAGCAGCUGAUGCGCCGUCGCCUGGACGGAGCAGCUGAUGCGCCGUGAGGUUGGGAGAAAUUUGGGAAAUGGAGUACAGUUGGGCAGCAAAUUCCUUCUCGGCCACCAGCACCACUAGCUUUUUCUCCUCUCUCUCUCUCUACACACCGCACGGAGACACUUCUUUGCUUGCUUGCUUCUUUGCUUGCCUGCCAUGUCCCAUCUGUGUUGUGUGCCACAGCCCCCCACGGAGAACAAAGUAGAUAGCUGAGGGAGAGGGUAAUGAAAUUAGAUUGUAGAGAAAUGUAGAUAGCUGAGGGAGAGGCUAAUGAAAUUAGAUUGUAGAGAAAUGUGUAGGUCUAUACAGAGAAGCUGAAUAUACAAUUUAUUUAUUUUCACUUAGUUCAGUACAUAGAAUUUCCCUCUUCUAAACACCGUUGGAUGUUUGUACUGCAUUCUCUCUGUCUUGUGUGAUACUAGUAACUAGUACAUGGAAUAUGUUCUUACUGAUGCUUAUAUGAACCAAAUAAUUUAUUUAUUUUCAGAUUGUCCCUGCUCCAGCAAGAGUAGGCGAGGACGAGCCUCCCCCAUCCUGGGUGUUGGUGCCUGACUCAUUUUAUCAAGGUACUAGCCAAAACCUAAAGAAACUGAAUUAUAUGAACUGCAUAACUAGCUUUAGUAAUUAGUUUUCCUUAUUUCUCUUGAUGUUAUUUUUAGUUUUGCUAUGUACAUGAGCAAUAGAGAUCACCUUAGGAGGAGGGAGGAGGAUGAUGAUGACCUCUUCCUUUUGAUUCUCCCUUCCCUACAUCUCUUGGGCUAUCUUGGACGUAGUAAAAAGAAAUUGAGGCAAACAUCAGCGCUGACCG